rnacentral:snoRNA from 1 species
AUCUUCCAGGGUCCCUGCUCAUCAGAUCGAAACGUUGGUCUGAGCGGCUGUAAAAGGAGGAAGAGCCAAGAAUGAAACGGACUUGGAUUCUUUUGUGGCAGACAAAUUGGUUUCCAGCAAGC